UUUUUAGACGGAAGAGGUGCUUGUAAACUUAACUAUUAAUACUGCUGUAUUUGUGAAAUUAGCGUGUUUGUAGUAAUUGCUUAGCAUCCAACUUUUUGUCUGAAAGAAUGUCGGCAAAGCUGUCUGCUGUGCUUGUGCUAAUCUGUGUUUUACGGUU